UACGUAGGGUGCAAGCGUUGUCCGGAAUCACUGGGCGUAAAGGGCGCGUAGGUGGCGACCCAAGUCGAUGGUGAAAGCUCGCCGCUCAACGGCGAGUCGGCCACCGAUACUGGGUUGCUGGAGCACUGUAGAGGCAGAUGGAAUUCCGGGGUGUAGCGGUGAAAUGCGUAGAGAUCGGGAGGAACACCCGUGGCGAAGGCGGCCAACUGGGCCGGACCUGACGCUGAGGCGCGAAGGCGUGGGGAGCGAACGGGAUUAGAACUCCGUA
rnacentral:rRNA from 1 species